UUUUUUUUUUUUUGGCCAGGGAGAGGGAAAGAGGGAGAGUUAUGAGACUUUGUACUGUCUCAAUUCAGCAAUUGGUUUAUUGUCAACAAUUUCCUCUUUCGUGACUUUUUGAAGGAUAACUUAUUAUGGAAUGCAGGAAAACUUUUAUGUCAAGGAUAGAUGAAAGUCUUUGAAACUAGGAUUUAGUUGUGGGAUACAUGGGCGUGCCAAAAUAUUCUGGAAUCAGCAUGACUCAACAUCCACAGUAUGUUACAGUAAGAAAUGAACGUGGAAGAGAGAUGCUCAGUCUGGUUGAUAAUCUUUUGGAGGUUACUCCAACAACUAGCAGUGAAAGGGUCCUGAACCUGCCCCAAAGUUUGUUGGCAAUGUGAUUGCUUUCUUGCUAAACUUGAUUGGCCCAAAGGGUCUGGAAUUUUCUCGUUAUUCACUCGAUUACCAUACCAUCAGGAACUACCUGUAUGUAAACCGAAUAUGGGGAAAACAAAGAGCUGAUCAGCAUAUGCCUUCAUAUGCAAAGAAGAUUGUGGAUACCUACAAUAAGAAUGGUGAAAUCGAUCGGAUUCUUUCCAACAAGUGACUGCAUUAGCUGGUGAAAUGCAGAUGAUAAAGAGGGCACUUCAAGGUAAUUGAUUCCAAGCCAAGAAUUCUACUGUUGAAGUCAAAUUGAUGAUGGAAAGCUUCUGCUCAACCGAGGAGAAAAGUCAAGAUCAGAUAAAAUAAUGAAGUCAAGAAAAUUGGCUGAGACUAAAUUUUGGAAAAACAAACAGUUUAAUGUACAGUUUGUCUUGGAGGUUUAGGGUUUUGGGUUUAGGGAAUUAUUAGACUUGUUAUUUUUCACGUCGUUAUAUACUCAUUUAUUUAUUUCUAAACCUCAAAGCUCAUUUUAAGCAAAAA